AGAGUUUGAUUGGCUCAGAAUCAACGCUGGCGGCGUGCCUAACACAUGCAAGUCGAACGCGAAAGCCCGCAAGGGUAAGUAGAGUGGCAAACGGGUGAGUAACACGUGGGUGACCUGCCUUAGAGUGGGGGAUAACGUCCCGAAAGGGACGCUAAUACCGCAUAACAUCCUGCCUUUGAAGAGGUGGAGAUCAAAGCCGGGGACCGCAAGGCCUGGCGCUUAAAGAGGGGCCCGCGCCUGAUUAGCUAGUUGGUGAGGUAAUGGCUCACCAAGGCAACGAUCAGUAUCCGGCCUGAGAGGGCGGACGGACACACUGGGACUGAGACACGGCCCAGACUCCUACGGGAGGCAGCAGUGGGGAAUUGUUCGCAAUGGGCGCAAGCCUGACGACGCAACGCCGCGUGGAGGAUGAAGACCUUCGGGUCGUAAACUCCUUUCGAUCGAGACGAACAGCCAUCGGUGAACAAUC
rnacentral:rRNA from 1 species